rnacentral:rRNA from 1 species
GAUGAACGCUAGCGACAGGCUUAACACAUGCAAGUCGAGGGGCAGCAUAAAAGUAGCAAUACUUUGGUGGCGACCGGCGCACGGGUGAGUAACGCGUAUGCAACCUACCUAUCAGAGGGGAAUAACCCGGCGAAAGUCGGACUAAUACCGCAUAAAACAGGGGCACCGCAUGGUGAUAUUUGUUAAAGAAAUUCGCUGAUAGAUGGGCAUGCGUUCCAUUAGGUAGUUGGUGAGGUAACGGCUCACCAAGCCGACGAUGGAUAGGGGAACUGAGAGGUUGGUCCCCCACACUGGUACUGAGACACGGACCAGACUCCUACGGGAGCAGCAGUGAGGAAUAUUGGUCAAUGGGCGAGAGCCUGAACCAGCCAAGUCGCGUGAAGGAAGAAGGAUCUAUGGUUCGUAAACUUCUUUUGCAGGGGAAUAAAGUGCGGGACGUGUCCUGUUUUGUAUGUACCCUGAGAAUAAGGAUCGGCUAACUCCGUGCCAGCAGCCGCGGUAAAG